rnacentral:sRNA from 1 species
UUGUACACACCGCCCGUCACACCAUGGGAGUGGAUGGUACCAGAAGCCGUUAGCCUAACCUUCGGGGGGGCGACGACCACGGUAUGGUUCAUGACUGGGGUGAAGUCGUAACAAGGUAGCCGUAGGGGAACCUGCGGCUGGAUCACCUCCUUUAAAGAGAACGGGUACUAGACCCCACACACGCCACUCGGUAGCGACUUGGGCCCAUAGCUCAGCUGGCUAGAGCACACGACUGAUAAUCGUGAGGUCAGUGGUUCGAGUCCACUUGGGCCCACCACAUGGGGCUGUAGCUCAGUUGGGAGAGCACCGGCUUUGCAAGCCGGGGGUCACCGGUUCGAGACCGGUCAGCUCCACCAGACGGUGGGGUGGGGGAGCCGCGGCGGGUCCGUGGUGUGGGCAGUGGGCAGUGCAGAGCCUUGGGUUGUGCACUGUACAUUGGAAGAUGUGCGGUAUGUUCUUUGACAAGUGAGGAAGGGAAGGCCAGAUGACCGGUCCUGGGACGGGUCAUCUCCCCCGAGGGUAUUGGGGGAUAUAUGGUCAAGUGAAUAAGGGCAUACGGUGGAUGCCUUGGCGGAAACAGGCGAUGAAGGACGUGGGUACCUGCGAAAAGCCUCGGGGAGCUGGUAAACGAGCGGUGAUCCGGGGAUGUCCGAAUGGGGAAACCCAACCCGAGGGAUCGGGUUAUUGCCACUGGAAUACAUAAGGUGGCAAGGCGAACGCGGUGAACUGAAACAUCUCAGUAGCUGCAGGAACAGAAAUCAACCGAGAUUCCCCCAGUAGCGGCGAGCGAACGGGGAGGAGCCAUCACGAUGUAGCCACGGACUUAGGAGAACGCUCUGGGAAGGGCGGCCGUAGUGGGUGAGAGCCCCGUAUCCGAAAAGUUGGUGGUGGAACUAGGCGUGAGAUAAGUAGGGCGGGACACGUGGAAUCCUGUCUGAAGAUGGGGGGACCAUCCUCCAAGGCUAAAUACUCGUUUCCGACCGAUAGUGAACCAGUACCGUGAGGGAAAGGA